rnacentral:misc_RNA from 1 species
UCCGGUUUGGCACCGGCAGUCUCCCUAGAGUUCCCGGCUUUACCCGCUGGCAACUAGGGACAAGGGUUGCGCUCGUUGCGGGACUUAACCCAACAUCUCACGACACGAGCUGACGACAGCCAUGCAGCACCUGUGUUCCGAUUCCCUUUCGGGCACCCCCACCUCUCAGCAGGGUUCCGGACAUGUCAAGGGUAGGUAAGGUUGUUCGCGUUGCAUCGAAUUAAUCCACAUAAUCCACCGCUUGUGCGGGUCCCCGUCAAUUCCUUUGAGUUUUAGUCUUGCGACCGUACUUCCCAGGCGGGAUGCUUAAUGCGUUGGCUUCGGCACUGCGGGGGUCAACUCCCGCAACACCUAGCAUCCAUCGUUUACAGCGCGGACUAC